rnacentral:rRNA from 1 species
CUGAGCGGAAUCCAGAGUACAUCGAGACACGAGAAACCUUGAUGGAAAGAGCGGGGACCACCCCGUAAGCCUAAAUACUACUUAGUGACCGAUAGCGCAUAGUACUGUGAAGGAAAGGUGAAAAGGACCCCGGGAGGGGAGUGAAAGAGAACCUGAAACCCUGUGUUUACAAGCUGUGGAAGUUCUUUAAAUGAACAACCGCGUACUUUUUGUAGAACGGUCCGGCGAGUUGCGGAUACUGGCAAGGUUAAGCACUUAAGGUGCGGAGCCGAAGGGAUACCAAGUCUUAACAGGGCGUUAAGUCAGUAUACGCAGACCCGAAACCGGGUGAUCUAUCCAUGUCCAGGUUGAAGUUGUCGUAAAAGACAAUGGAGGACCGAAGCCACAUCCGUUGAAAAGGGUGGGCAUGAGGUGUGGAUAGGGGAGAAAUUCCAAUCGAACCCGGAGAUAGCUGGUUCUCCUCGAAAUAGCUUUAGGGCUAGCCUCGAUUUAGUCUUAUGGAGGUAGAGCACUGAAUUUCCGCGGGGGCGUCAAAGCUUACCAAAGAAUAUCAAACUCCGAAUGCCAUGUAGAUGAUGAUCGGGAGUCAGACUGCACGAGAUAAGUUGGGCAGUCAAAAGGGAAAGAGCCCAGACCACCGGCUAAGGUCCCAAAGUGCGUGUUAAGUGGAAAAGGAUGUGGGAAUUCGAAGACAACUAGGAUGUUGGCUCAGAAGCAGCCAUACAUUCAAAGAGUGCGUAACAGCUCACUAGUCGAGAGUUCCUGCGCCGAAAAUGUCCGGGGCUGAAACACGACACCGAAGCCGUGGACUCGCAAUGCGAGUGGUAGAGGAGCAUUCUUAAAACCGACGAAGCUGUACCGAAAGGAGCAGUGGAGGGAUAAGAAGAGAGAAUGCCGGAAUGAGUAGCGAGAGAAAGGUGGGAAUCCUUUCGGCCGAAUAUCUAAGGUUUCCAGAGUAAAGCUGAUCUGCUCUGGGUAAGUCGGGGCCUAAGCACAGGUCGCAAGACGUAAGCGAUGGAUAACAGGUUUAGAUUCCUGUACCACGCAUUAUCAGAACUGUAGGGACGCAUGUGGAAAGCACGAGCCGGGAAUGGAAAGACCGGUACAAGCGGGGUAGGUGUACAAUAGGCAAAUCCGUUGUAUAAUCCGAAGACGUGAUGUGGAGCGAAAUAAAGUAGUGAAGCGUGUGAGCCAUGUGCCGAGAAAAGCUGCUAUUGUGUAAUGCGUGCCCGUACCGUAAACCGACACAGGUGGAUGAGGAGAGAAUCCUAAGGCCGACGGAAGAAGCAUUGUUAAGGAAUUCGGCAAAAUGACCCCGUAACUUCGGGAGAAGGGGUGCCUGCGAGAGCAGGCCGCAGAGAAUAGGCUCAAGCAACUGUUUAGCAAAAACACAGGUCUAUGCGAAACCGAAAGGUGAAGUAUAUGGGCUGACGCCUGCCCGGUGCUGGAAGGUUAAGAGGAGAGGUUAGCUUCGGCGAAGCUUUGAAUUUAAGCCCCAGUAAACGGCGGCCGUAACUAUAACGGUCCUAAGGUAGCGAAAUUCCUUGUCGGGUAAGUUCCGACCCGCACGAAAGGCGUAAUGAUUUGAGCACUGUCUCGACAAUGCAUCCGGUGAAAUUGAAGUACCAGUGAAGAUGCUGGUUACCCGCGCCAGGACGGAAAGACCCCAUGGAGCUUUACUCCAGUUUGAUACUGGGAUUCGGUACUGCAUGUACAGGAUAGGUGGGAGACGAAGAAGGAUGGACGCCAGUCUGUCCGGAGUCGCUGUUGGGAUACCACCCCUGUAGUACUGGGUUUCUAACCAGUUGCCAUGAACUGGCAAUGGGACAAUGUCAGGCGGGGAGUUUGACUGGGGCGGUCGCCUCCGAAAGGGUAUCGGAGGCGCUCAAAGGUUCCCUCAGAAUGGUUGGAAACCAUUUGAAGAGUGCAAAGGCAGAAGGGAGCUUGACUGCGACACCGACGGGUGGAGCAGGUACGAAAGUAGGACUUAGUGAUCCGGUGGUAUAAAGUGGGAUUGCCAUCGCUCAACGGAUAAAAGCUACCCUGGGGAUAACAGGCUUAUCACUCCCAAGAGUUCACAUCGACGGAGUGGUUUGGCACCUCGAUGUCGGCUCAUCGCAUCCUGGGGCUGUAGCAGGUCCCAAGGGUUGGGCUGUUCGCCCAUUAAAGCGGUACGCGAGCUGGGUUCAGAACGUCGUGAGACAGUUCGGUCCCUAUCCGGCGCGGGCGGAGGAUAUUUGAGAGGAGCUGUCCUUAGUACGAGAGGACCGGGAUGGACGGACCACUGGUGUAUCUGUUGUCGACCAACGGCAUGGCAGAGUAGCCAAGUCUGGAAGGGAUAAACGCUGAAGGCAUCUAAGCGUGAAGCCCCCCUCAAGAUGAGAUAUCCCUCCUUCGGGAGUAAGACCCCUUGAAGACUACAAGGUAGAUAGGGCAGAGGUGGAAGCAUGGCAACAUGUGGAGCUGACUGUUACUAAUAGGUCGA